GCCUAAGAGCAGAUGGCAGAUACUACAAAGGGUAGUUGAGAAUGACGGGGCUAAGAUCCAAUGGGAAUUUCAGAUCCAGACAGACAAGCACUGGCCAACCAACCCAACUCCAAACAGAAAAAAAUCAGAAGGUUGUAUAAAUAUCAAGUGAAUAAGAAAAAAUCUCCAGGCACUCAGUCUUCAAGCCACAGGCAGAUUUAUUGGCUCAAAAAGGCAACGCAAUGUUUCG